AUUGAACGCUGGCGGAAUGCUUUACACAUGCAAGUCGAACGGCAGCACGGGUGCUUGCACCUGGUGGCGAGUGGCGAACGGGUGAGUAAUGCACCGGAACGUAUCCAAUAAUGGGGGAUAACGCACCGAAAGGUGUGCUAAUACCGCAUACGCCCUGAGGGGGAAAGCGGGGGAUCGUAAGACCUCGCGUUAAUGGAGCGGCCGAUGCCGGAUUAGCUAGUUGGUGAGGUAAAAGGCUCACCAAGGCGACGAUCCGUAGCUGGUCUGAGAGGACGACCAGCCACACUGGAACUGAGACACGGUCCAGACUCCUACGGGAGGCAGCAGUAAGGAAUAUGGUCAAUGGGCGCAAGCCUGAACCAGCCAUGCCGCGUGAAGGAUGACGGCCCUAUGGGUUGUAAACUUCUUUUGUACGGGAAAAAAACCACCGGUACGUGUAUCGGUGCUGAUGGUACCGUAAGAAU
rnacentral:rRNA from 1 species